rnacentral:rRNA from 1 species
GACUACUGGGGUAUCUAAGCCUGUUUGCUCCCCACGCUUUCGCUUCUCAGCGUCAGGAAAGGUCCAGAGAACCGCCUUCGCCACUGGUGUUCCUCCUGAUAUCUGCGCAUUCCACCGCUCCACCAGGAAUUCCGUUCUCCCCUACCUUCCUCAAGUCUGCCCGUAUCGAAAGCAGGCUCAGGGUUAAGCCCUGAGUUUUCACUUCCGACGCAACAGACCGCCUACAAGCUCUUUACGCCCAAUAAUUCCGGACAACGCUCGCACCCUACGUAUCACCGCGGCUGCUGGCACGUAGUUAGCCGGUGCUUCUUCUGCAGGUACCGUCACGUGUUGCUUCGUCCCUGCUGAAAGCGGUUUACAACCCGAAGGCCGUCAUCCCGCACGCGGCGUUGCUGCGUCAGGCUUUCGCCCAUUGCGCAAUAUUCCCCACUGCAGCCUCCCGUAGG